rnacentral:rRNA from 1 species
CAAGGUUAAAACUCAAAUGAAUUGACGGGGGCCGCACAAGCGGUGGAGCAUGUGGUUUAAUUCGAUGCAACGCGAAGAACCUUACCUGGUCUUGACAUCCACAGAACUUGGCAGAGAUGCCUUGGUGCCUUCGGGAACUGUGAGACAGGUGCUGCAUGGCUGUCGUCAGCUCGUGUUGUGAAAUGUUGGGUUAAGUCCCGCAACGAGCGCAACCCUUAUCCUUUGUUGCCAGCGGUUAGGCCGGGAACUCAAAGGAGACUGCCAGUGAUAAACUGGAGGAAGGUGGGGAUGACGUCAAGUCAUCAUGGCCCUUACGACCAGGGCUACACACGUGCUACAAUGGCGCAUACAAAGAGAAGCAAUCUCGCGAGAGCUAGCGGACCUCAUAAAGUGCGUCGUAGUCCGGAUUGGAGUCUGCAACUCGACUCCAUGAAGUCGGAAUCG